rnacentral:lncRNA from 1 species
CUAAACUGUUGGGACCUAAACUCCCAAAAUCAAUACCAACCUUCCUUUUCUAGUCAUUAACAUUGUGUUUAAAUUUCAUUGAUUUCUAUUUACUUAAACUAAUGUUAUUGUGCGAAAACCAAGAAUAAUGCUUAUUUGGGCCCUUUUUUGGCCCCUAAUUCCUAAACUGUUGAGACCAAAACUCCCAAAAUCAAUCCCAACCGUUCUUUUGUGGUCAUAAACCUUGUGUCAAAAUUUCAUAGAUUUCUAUUAACUUAAACUAAAGUUAUAGUGCGAAAACCAAGAAAAUGCUUAUUUGGGCCCUUUUUGGUCCCUAAUUCCUAAAAUGGUGGGACCAAAACUCCCAAAAUCAAUACCAACCUUCCUUUUGUGGUCAUAAACCUUGUGUUAAAAUUUCAUAGAUUUCCAUUCACUUUUACUAAAGUUAGAGUGCGAAAACUAAAAGUAUUCGGACGCCGGACGACGACGACGACGACGACGACGCCGACGCCAACGUGAUAGCAAUAUACGACGAAAUUUUUUUCAAAAUUUGCGGUCGUAUAAAAAUCAGUU